GAUGAACGCUGGCGGCGUGCCUAAUACAUGCAAGUCGAGCGAACAGACGAGGAUCUUGCUCCUCUGACGUUAGCGGCGGACGGGUGAGUAACACGUGGAUAACCUACCUAUAAGACUGGGAUAACUUCGGGAAACCGGAGCUAAUACCGGAUAAUAUAUUGAACCGCAUGGUUCAAUAGUGAAAGACGGUUUUGCUGUCACUUAUAGAUGGAUCCGCGCCGCAUUAGCUAGUUGGUAAGGUAACGGCUUACCAAGGCAACGAUGCGUAGCCGACCUGAGAGGGUGAGCGGCCACACUGGAACUGAGACACGGUCCAGACUCCUACGGGAGGCAGCAGUAGGGAAUCUUCCGCAAUGGGCGAAAGCCUGACGGAGCAACGCCGCGUGAGUGAUGAAGGUCUUCGGAUCGUAAAACUCUGUUAUUAGGGAAGAACAAAUGUGUAAGUAACUAUGCACGUCUUGACGGUACCUAAUCAGAAAGCCACGGCUAACUACGUG
rnacentral:rRNA from 1 species